UACGGAGGAUCCGAGCGUUAUCCGGAUUUAUUGGGUUUAAAGGGUGCGUAGGCGGAUAUGUAAGUCAGCGGUGAAACUCACAGGCUCAACCUGUGCCGUGCCGUUGAAACUGUGUAUCUGGAAUGCGGAUGCUGUGGGAGGAAUGUGUAGUGUAGCGGUGAAAUGCAUAGAUAUUACACAGAACACCGAUUGCGAAGGCAUCUCACAAAGCCGUUAUUGACGCUGAGGCACGAAAGUGUGGGGAGUCAAACA
rnacentral:rRNA from 1 species